GGAUGAACCCACUAAUGGAAUGUGAUGUGUCAGAGCUAUUCAAGCGAGGAGGAAAACAUAAAAUGGGCGAGGCCCGAAAAGUUUUUCUCCGAGAAUUGCACAGCCAAUUAGAGUUACAUGGCAGUAACAAGGGAGGAGUGAAUAAAGCGGUGGCCCAUCUUCAUGAACUAAUUGCAGAUCCUGCCCUGCCAGAAGGAGCAGUGCUCCAUGAAGUGAAGCGGGCAUUAAAAAAUAAAAAAGAUUAUAGGUAUCGUAAGUCAUUAAAAAAUGCUAUAUGUAUUCACAUCAGUAUAAAUUAAAGUGAAUGAAACU